rnacentral:rRNA from 1 species
UACGAAGGGGGGCUAGCGUUGCUCGGAAUCACUGGGCGUAAAGGGUGCGUAGGCGGGUCUUUAAGUCAGAGGUGAAAUCCUGGAGCUCAACUCCAGAACUGCCUUUGAUACUGAGGAUCUUGAGUACGGGAGAGGUGAGUGGAACUGCGAGUGUAGAGGUGAAAUUCGUAGAUAUUCGGAAGAACACCAGUGGCGAAGGCGGCUCACUGGUCCGGUACUGACGCUGAGGUGCGAAAGCGUGGGGAGCAAACAGG